CAGGACGAACGCUGGCGGCGUGCCUAACACAUGCAAGUCGAGCGGGGACAUACGGCGGAUCGGAAGUUUCGGAUGGAAGAGAAGAUGUAUGUUCUAGCGGCGGACGGGUGAGUAACGCGUGAGCAACCUGUCCUUCACAGGGGGAUAACACAGCGAAAGUUGUACUAAUACCGCAUGAGACCACAUUGGGACAUCCCAGAGGGGUCAAAGGAGCAAUCCGGUGAAGGGUGGGCUCGCGUCCGAUUAGAUAGUUGGUGAGGUAACGGCCCACCAAGUCGACGAUCGGUAGCCGACCUGAGAGGGUGAUCGGCCACAUUGGGACUGAGACACGGCCCAACUCCUACGGGAGGCAGCAGUGGGGAAUAUUGGGCAAUUGGGGGAAACCCUGACCCAGCAACGCCGCGUGAGGGAAGAAGGUUUUCGGAUCGUAAACCUCUGUCCUUGGUGAAGAGUGAGAGACGGUAGCCAAGGAGGAAGCCCCGGCUAACUACGUGCCAGCCGCCGC
rnacentral:rRNA from 1 species